rnacentral:rRNA from 1 species
CCAAUAGCGUAUAUUAAAGUUGUUGCAGUUAAAAAGCUCGUAGUUGAAUUUCGGGGUUAGUAAGCUGGUCGUGCCACUGGUAUGUACUGGUUUUACUGAUCUCUCCUUCUUGUAGAACCGUAAUGCCAUUAAUUUGGUGUUGCGGGGAAACAGGACUGUUACUUUGAAAAAAUUAGAGUGUUUAAAGCAGGCUAACGCUUGAAUACAUUAGCAUGGAAUAAUGAAAUAGGACGUUCGAUCCUAUUUUGUUGGUUUCUAGGGUUGACGUAAUGAUUAAUAGGGAUAGUUGGGGGCAUUAGUAUUCAAUUGUCAGAGGUGAAAUUCUUGGAUUUAUUGAAGACUAACUACUGCGAAAGCAUUUGCCAAGGAUGUUUUCAUUAAUCAAGAACGAAAGUUAGGGGAUCGAAGACGAUCAGAUACCGUCGUAGUCUUAACCAUAAACUAUGCCGACUAGGGAUCGGAUGAUGUUAAUUUUUUAAUGACUCAUUCGGCGCCUUACG